GCUACCGAAUGGCGCGGUGAGGCUGCAAGUUGUGGGUGGGCUGCGUUUUGUGGGUUGAUUGGGUGUAGAGCUGUUGUGGUGUGGUUCUUAGGUAGGAUGUGAAAGCCCACGGCUCAACCGUGGAGGGUCAUUGGAAGCUGGGGAACUGGAGAGCAGAAGAGGAGAGUGGCAUUCCAUGUGGAGCGGUGAAAUUCGCAGACAUAUGGAGGAACACCAGUGGCGAAGGCGUCUCUCUGGUCUGUAACUGACGCUGAUGUGCGAAAGCGUGGGGAUCAAACAGUAUUAGAUACCCGGGUAGUC
rnacentral:rRNA from 1 species